rnacentral:misc_RNA from 1 species
UCUCCGUUGGUGAACCAGCGGAGGGAUCAUUACAGAGUUUCAAAACUCCCAAACCAUUUUUAACGGUACCUCUCCCGUUGCUUCGGCGGGCGGCCCAGGCCCCCCGCCCGCCCGCCCCCGGCCCCCCCUGGGGCGCCGCCGGAAGGAAACAAAACCCUUGAACUGCAUGGCCCCUCUCGGUCUUCUGUAAUUAUUAACUCAAAACUUUCAACAACGGAUCGCUUCGUUCUUGAAUCGAAGAAUAACGCAGCAGAUCGGUAGGGUACACGUUCGAACCAC